UACGUAGGGUGCAAGCGUUGUCCGGAAUUAUUGGGCGUAAAGAGCUCGUAGGCGGUCUGGCGCGUCGGCUGUGAAAUCCCGAGGCUCAACCUCGGGUCUGCAGUCGAUACGGGCAAACUAGAGUAUUGCAGGGGAGACUGGAAUUCCUGGUGUAGCGGUGAAAUGCGCAGAUAUCAGGAGGAACACCGGUGGCGAAGGCGGGUCUCUGGGCAAUAACUGACGCUGAGGAGCGAAAGCGUGGGGAGCGAACAGG
rnacentral:rRNA from 1 species